rnacentral:rRNA from 1 species
GUACAUCCCGAUGCUAUUUCUAGAGAUGAAAGUUACUUCGGUACAUCGGUGACAGGUGGUGCAUGGUUGUCGUCAGCUCGUGUCGUGAGAUGUUGGGUUAAGUCCCGCAACGAGCGCAACCCCUAUUGUUAGUUGCCAUCAUUCAGUUGGGCACUCUAGCGAGACUGCCGGUAAUAAACCGGAGGAAGGUGGGGAUGACGUCAAAUCAUCAUGCCCCUUAUGACCUGGGCUACACACGUGCUACAAUGGUUGGUACAACGAGUUGCGAGUCGGUGACGGCGAGCUAAUCUCUUAAAGCCAAUCUCAGUUCGGAUUGUAGGCUGCAACUCGCCUACAUGAAGUCGGAAUCGCUAGUAAUCGCGGAUCAGCGUGCCGCGGUGAAUACGUUCCCGGGCCUU